GACGAACGCUGGCGGCGUGCUUAACACAUGCAAGUCGAACGGAAAGGCCCUGCUUUUGUGGGGUGCUCGAGUGGCGUACGGGUGAGUAACACGUGAGUAACCUGCCCUUGACUUUGGGAUAGCUUCAGGAAACUGGGGCUAAUACCGGAUAGGAGCUCCUGCUGCAUGGUGGGGGUUGGAAAGUUUCGGCGGUUGGGGAUGGACUCGCGGCUUAUCAGCUUGUUGGUGGGGUAGUGGCUUACCAAGGCUUUGACGGGUAGCCGGCCUGAGAGGGUGACCGGCCACAUUGGGACUGAGAUACGGCCCAGACUCCUACGGGAGGCAGCAGUGGGGAAUAUUGCACAAUGGGCGGAAGCCUGAUGCAGCAACGCCGCGUGCGGGAUGACGGCCUUCGGGUUGUAAACCGCUUUCGCCUGUGACGAAGCGUGAGUGACGGUAAUGGGUAAAGAAGCACCGGCUAACUACGUG
rnacentral:rRNA from 1 species